rnacentral:rRNA from 1 species
UGAUCCUGGCUCAGAUUGAACGCUGGCGGCAUGCCUUACACAUGCAAGUCGAACGGUAACAGGUCUUUCGGGAUGCUGACGAGUGGCGAACGGGUGAGUAAUACAUCGGAACGUGCCUAGUAGUGGGGGAUAACUACUCGAAAGAGUGGCUAAUACCGCAUGAGAUCUAUGGAUGAAAGCAGGGGACCUUCGGGCCUUGUGCUACUAGAGCGGCCGAUGGCAGAUUAGGUAGUUGGUGGGAUAAAAGCUUACCAAGCCUGCGAUCUGUAGCUGGUCUGAGAGGACGAUCAGCCACACUGGGACUGAGACACGGCCCAGACUCCUACGGGAGGCAGCAGUGGGGAAUUUUGGACANUGGGGGAAACCCUGAUCCAGCAAUGCCGCGUGCAGGAUGAAGGCCUUCGGGUUGUAAACUGCUUUUGUACGGAACGAAAAGUCUUGGGCUAAUACCCUGGGAUCAUGAC